GCUUGUCUCAAAGAUUAAGCCAUGCAUGUCUAAGUAUAAACAACUUUGUACUGUGAAACUGCGAAUGGCUCAUUAAAUCAGUUAUAGUUUAUUUGAUGGUGCUUACUACAUGGAUAACCGUGGUAAUUCUAGAGCUAAUACAUGCGCAAAAGACCCGACUGUUUGGGAGGGUUGUAUUUAUUAGAUUGAAACCAAUGCAGUCUUCGGGCUGGUAUUGUGUUGAGUCAUAAUAACUGUGCGGAUCGCGUUUUACGCGAUAAAUCGAUUGAGUUUCUGCCCUAUCAGCUUUGGAUGGUAGGAUAUGGGCCUACCAUGGCAUUAACGGGUAACGGGGAAUUAGGGUUUGAUUCCGGAGAGGGAGCCUUAGAAACGGCUACCACAUCCAAGGAAGGCAGCAGG
rnacentral:rRNA from 1 species